CGUCCUAACAUCGCGCGAGAACUCUGCGCCGGUGACUACGCUUAUCAGUCCGUCGUAUUCCUUUGUCUUCUUGUCACAAAAAGAAUUUCAUCAAUCUGGAAAGGGAGUUUUACUUACGUAAAUGGAUGUAGACCAGACUCAGACAUGUGAGAACUGUCUUAAUGUGGAUUUAUAAGCCUCUGAAUGAAUUUCUAAGGCACCUAAGCUAUUGUUUCUUAAAAUAAGGUUAGUUACUGUCUAUUCAAGUCAGUUCAUAGGGCUUCUCGUGAGUAGGAAAGUGGGUUCACAAACUCACAGGCUUUCCUUCUUUAAGGUAUGGAUUCUUGGCUAUUACCAAAGAAUUUAGAUGAGCAGAGUUUGAUUUUUAAAGAGAAGUGUUACUAUGUUUAGUGUUAUUUUUAAAAUUAAGGAGCAGCUGAAAGGCAAACUUCUCCUAACAAGACAUAAUAAAGGAAUAUUUCAAUUUGUCUUACAGAUUUUAAAGUUUCUAUAAUUUGGCCAACAUCUACAAAGCAAGUGGACAAUAUUUCCUCUUCACUUUUAACUAAUAAAGAGUAGCAAAAUGUUUUUCCUUACGUAGAGGUGACUGGCACAGGAGCACAAAUUGAGGCUUUUAAGCGGUACUGAAAGAAAUAUCUCAGGGGAUUUUAAUUUCUAAACUGAUGCCUAUGUUCUUUUCCUCAGGUUACAAUCUUAAUCUAAAAGUGUUUCCUGCUUCAUAAUGCCUGUAGACGUGAAGCCAACAAAUCUUUGCCAAAAUGUGUUCAUGUGGUAAUUCACUGCAGCACAGGAGCAAUAAUCAGCUAUGUGCGGGGGCAUCUAUGCUAUUGUCUCUUAAAAUAUUUACUUUAAAAGUAAGGUUAGUUAUUGUCUGUUCAAGUCAGUUAGCCCUUACAAUUCAUUUGAUAGUGAUUACCAGUACAAUAUGUUAGUUUGUUGGAGUGAGAAUAAUGGUGUUAAUCCUUGGAAAAAUGCAAGACCAAAGGGAAAUGUAAAUUUUGCAUAUCUAUGUUUAAUGUCUUACAUUUAUAUUCGAAUAAACGGUUAUGAUUAUAACUCUUUGUAAAAGAAACUCCAUUUUGAGCACCCCAGAUUAUGAUCACUUUCAAAUACAGACUCAGAAGUACAGGUUUAGAAAAAAAGGAUUUAGAGGAAUGCAGCAUAUAUAUUAAGACUUCUAGCGAGGGAAGGAGUGUAGCUCUGGUUCAACUAAGAUAAAGUACUGAUGGAAGGUCACUGGCAGAUAAUACAGAGAAACAGCCUGCCUUGCAGGGUUUUUUGUAUGCCUAGUCAGCCUACCAAGGACAAUAUGUCCAGAAUGACCUCUUUACUGCCUGCCAGCUAAUCAGUUAUCCCAUAAGAAAUAGCAAACAAGAUUCACACAACAGAGAGCAAUUAUUUUUCUCUCCCUCUUUCCUCUUUGUCUUAAUAAACGCUCUUUUUUUAUUUGUGUGGUGAAGUCAAUCUAUUGAGGUAUCAUCUUUGUAAACAAGUAAACAGUGUGUUAUAAUUGACUUUGUGACUUUGAAUUAUUGACACUGCUCUGUUUCUUUUCCAAAGAAUCUUUACACUGUUGAAAGAGUAACUCUUUUCCAUUAUAACCUGAGCCAAGUUGAAGAGAAGCAGGGAAUACUGAAUGAAAGUUACUUUUCCAUGCAGGAGGAAAAAAGAAGUUUGCUAUUAUAUAAAUUUAUAGAAAAAUAUAAAAUUACAUGUGAACUUAUUUUUCUUUCUGUGUGUGCCAAAAUUUUUUAAAGAUUUAUAUCUCUACUACUCAAAGCAUUCCCAUCUCUAGCUUUUAUUAGCUCUGUCACCUGAAUCAUUUUUCACUCAUAACCACCUGGCCAUUCUUUAACAUUCAGUUCAUGUAGAUUGUACUAGGCAGUUUAAAUACAUUAGAUUUUAUAAACAAAGACCCAGUGAGCACAGAGAAGUUAACAUGCCCGUGGUCACAUAUAUAUUAAUUGGCAAACUGCCUCCUCCCACUUUAAUUACUUUACCUCCUUCCUUGAUUACUUGCCAUUUUGACAGUCGUCUGAUUUCUGUAUAGCCCUUAUGACUUUUACCAUCCAACUUAGUACAGUUAUGUUUCACUUAAUGACAGGGAUUUUGUCAUUAUGGGAACAUCAUAUAGUACAUCUAUCAAACCUAACUGCAAUAGCCUACUACACAUCUAAGCUAAAUAGUAUAUCAUAUUGCUCCUAGGCUACAAACCUGAACAGCAUGUUGCUGAACUGAAUACUGUAGGCACUUGUAACAUAAUGGACCCUGUGAGGUGAUAUUAUGACCUCCACUUCACUAUGCCUGAGAAGGAAUUGAGGCAAUGAGAAAUAAAGUGGUUUAUCGAAGAUUACACAGCAAGUAGUGGAGCCACAAUUUGAACGAGGUAAUCUGACUAGAGAGCCUGUGCACUCAUUCACCAUACUAUUCUGCAACCUUACACAACCUAUAACAUGAAAAACCACCUUCUUAGAAAUAAGACUGCAUGACCAUCCCAAUUUAAUGUGGAACUUUCUUCUUUAUCUUCUUUUCCUUUACCUGUCUUGGUCCAUUCAGGCUGCUGUAACAAAAUACCAUAGAGUGGGUGGCUUGUAAACAGUAAUUUACUUCUCACAGUUCUGAAGGCUGGGAAUUCCAAGAUCAAGGCACCAACAGAUUUGGUGUCUGGUGAGGGCCUGCAUCCUGGUUCUUAGACUAUAGUUUGUUGGUUUUUGUGUUUUGUUUUGUUUUGUUUUGCUGUGUCCUCACAUGGAAAAAGGAGUGAGGGAUCUCUCUGGGGUUUCUUUUAUAAUGGCACUAAUCUCAUAGGGCUCUAACCAGAGGUCUCUUUUAUAGGGCACUGAUUGCCUCCCAGAGGACCCUAUCUCCAAAUACUCUCACAUUGGGGAUUAGGUUUCAAUAUAUUAAUUUGAGGAGGACAAAGACAUUCAGUCUAUAGCCUGC